UUGUGGAAAAUCAGCAAAUGCCCCCACUUCAAUUCCAUACACCUUUUUCCAAUUGAUGAAGUAGAGAUUUCCAUCUCUAAGGCCUUUGGAAACAUGUUGGCCAUCUUAUGUCUUGACAAAACAUCCAUUCAUGUUAUAUUGAACCUUACAACGAUGCGAUACAAGUUUGCUAACCGAAAGGAGGUUCUUCUUCAUUUUUGGCACAUGUAGGACU
rnacentral:lncRNA from 1 species